GUUAAUUUUGGGCGCGGCUUUGCCCGCGGCCUAUUUUUGGCACACGGAGGCCCCUCGCUAAGUCUCACGGCGUUCCGAGUCCGGCGAACGAAGUUGGCCAGCAUCACCCCCCAAGGCUAUAGCCCACCCGUUUUUGUGGCCUUUUUCCGCUGGACGAACUUGGCGCCGCAGCCUUCGGGCGGUUGAUUUUGGGCGCGGCUUUCCCCACGGCCUAUUUUUGGCACACGGAGGCCCCUCGCAAAGUCUCGCGGCAUUCCGAGUCCGGCGGACGAAGUUGGCCUGCCCCACCCCCCAAGGCUAUAGCCCACCCGUUUUUGUGGCCUUUUUCCGCUGGACGAACUUGGCGCCCCGGCCUUCGGGCGGUUUAUUUUUGGG
rnacentral:lncRNA from 1 species